UACGUGGGGGGUAAGCGUUGUUCGGAAUUACUGGGCGUAAAGGGCACGUAGGCGGCCAACUAAGUCAGACGUGAAAUCCCUCAGCUUAACUGGGGAACUGCGUCUGAUACUGGAUGGCUUGGAUUCGGGAGAGGAAUGCGGAAUUCCAGGUGUAGCGGUGAAAUGCGUAGAUAUCUGGAGGAACACCGGUGGCGAAGGCGGCAUUCUGGACCGAUAUUGACGCUGAGGAGCGAAAGCCAGGGGAGCAAACGGG
rnacentral:rRNA from 1 species